UCUAGGCGCGGAGCGUUCGCGGCUGCUACUCUCUCUCUAGACCAGAGGAAGAAAAGAGAGAAGCAAGAAGGGUCGCUCGGACUCUCUCUCUCUCUCUCCUUCUCCCCGCAAGGAAGAAGAAGAGAGCGAGGGAAGGUAAGAAAAAGGCGCGCUUACUCUCUCCGUCUCACUCACUUGGUAGGUGGAGAUGAUUCUCUACCCUUUGAAGGAUAUCCGCCUGACCAGGAGGAAGAAGCAGGCCAUCCUCGUUGCGUCUGCGGUCGUUGCAGCCGGUUACGGCGCCUACAGACUCUACACCUCUGAUUCCCUAUCCAGAAAGCGCAGGCGCCUCCUCAGCCUCGCUCGCGCCCUCAUCUCUAUUGCCGAGUCGGCUUCCUCUGCUGCCGAGACCGUCUCCGUCGUCUCUGAUGACCUCUCCGCCUUCCUCCGCUCCGACUCCGACCAGCUCCCCAACUCUCUCAAGCAGAUAUCCAAGAUCGCCGUUUCGCCCGAGUUCUCCGAGUCCGUGGCUAGGGUGACGGAGGCCCUUACAAUCGGAUUUGUGAGGGGUUUGAGAAAUUCGGAGGCGAGGGCUGACGGGGAGGAGGUACCGGUAGAGGGUUCGUCUUCGGCGUCGUCUUUGUUUGAUAAGGUCUUUGAUCGGCUUUUCUCCACGGCCGGCUCCGGUUUCGCCGCAAUCGUCGUUGGUAGCUUUGCAAGGAGCCUCGUGCUUGCGUUCUACUCGGAUGAGGGUCGGGCAGGAGGAAGGAGGGAACCGGAUGGGGCGCAGAUGGGCCUGCCAAUUCCGGAUUGGGUGAACGUGAUAUGCGGUCCGAAAUUCAGAGAGGUCAUUGCGGGUUUCAUUCAGGUUUUCGUGAGUUCGGCGGUCGCAGUCUACCUAGACAAAACGAUGGACAUCAACACCUAUGACGAGAUCUUCUCGGGGUUAACAAAUCCUAAGCAUGAAACCAAGGUCAAGGAUAUGCUCAUUUCUCUUUGCAAUGGUGCCGUAGAAACACUGGUGACGACCUCCCAUCGCGUACUGAGCCGGGACUCUGACAAGAAGGAUGCAUCUAGUUCGGGAGACUCUCAGCGAUUUUCAGCCGUUGAAGACGGACAUAUGGGAGUAAACGGCGAGUUGGCCUUCUGUAACGGGGUUAGGAGUAGACCAGGUGAAGUUCAGAAUGAUGGUGGAUGGGUGGAUAAGGUUUCGUGCACGCUUGCGGUACCGAAUAAUAGGAGAUUUCUCUUGGACAUUACUGGAAGAGUGACGUUUGAGACGGUUAGAUCGUUCCUGGACUUUACUUUGUGGAAGUUGGGUUCUGGUCUUCGCAGUGGCGUUGCUGUGGUUGGUACUGACCGCGUUGAGAGUGUUAAGGAGUUAUUGAGAUAUGCUGGGGCUAGGUCCAUUGUGAUUUCCACAAUAUGCCUUGCUCUGUGCUUGCAUGUGCUCGUGGGGACGAAGGCGCUUACUCCAGUUUAGAUAUAUAAAACAACUCAAGAUGAUGCUUUCCACUAAUCUGUGUUAAUGCAUGUGCUUGUGCUUUUGGUGUUUCUUGAGCUUGGACUGAGAAUAUGCAUUUGGUCGUAAUUGCAAGUGGAUGGUGCAUGUGCUAGUGGUACACUUGAUUGUCCUUUUGGGGGAAGCUGCAUGAUGCUUGCGGUUCAUACUUUACUCAUCAAUCUAUUCAAUCUCAAGGAGGUGACAGCAUAAAAUAUUGUAGCAUGGUUGGUCAUUCCUUUCACAUGGAAUCUGUAAUGAAUGCAUAAUUUUGUAGAUCUGAAUGUUACCAACUCUAAACAGGAGCUAGGAGGCAAUCCUGUGGCUGUAGCACCUUCCUAAUGUUCGAUACUUGUAUAUAUUCCAAGUGUUUCGAUUUA